CUCCAUGGCCUCUGCAUCAGCUGCUGCCUCCAGGUUCCUGCUCUGUUUCAAUUCCUGUCUUGACUUCCUUCAGUGAUGAACAGCGAUGUGGAAGUGACCUGUGUGACCUGCAGAUAACAGAGGAGGGCUCCAGAGGACUUCCAUGUCCGUAAGAAUGGACAGAAUGGGACAACUCGGGCAGACCAAACAAGUGCCAGGAAGCCUUCAGGAUGACUCGUCAAACUUAAAGUCUCCAUCCUAAAAGCCAAGGCAGGUUCUGAAGACUGUGGACUCUGGGCUGGUAUUUAUAGCACUCAACGAGCGAAACACAAGACUAACAAGAAACACAGUGUACUGACACGAUUCCUGAUGUUACAGUUGUGUGAUGUAUUAACAUUUGUUAAAGGCUCUCAUUGUAUUCUCACAUUUGAUGGUUGCUAAAAAUGACUACUCAGUGUAAUUAGUUUAAAUGCAUUGUUGUUCUGAGUCCCGUGCUUUUUAAUUACUUUAAAUUGCUUGAAUUAGUUGAGUACUAUGCACGACUCUUCACUCUCUUGGACAAACGAUUUAUAUUUAUAGAAAGAUGUAGGCCCCUAUAGAAAGAC
rnacentral:lncRNA from 1 species